rnacentral:rRNA from 1 species
CAUCUGCCCUUCUUGCCUCAGCCCCGGGGAUGUGGAGCAGGAGCGAAGUCUUGGGACCUGAAAGAUGGUGAACUAUGCCUGGGCAGGGCGAAGCCGGCAGAGGCUCUGGUGGAGGUCCUUGGCGGUUCUGUCCUGCGGGUUGGUUAUAACCCAGGGUGUAGGGGUGAGGGGCUGGUCUAACAAUCUGGUAGCUGGUUUCUUCCCAGAUUUCCCUCAGAAUGCCUGGCGCUCACGCAGAAGUCUUGGGGCCCGCAGUUUUGUGAGGUGGAGCAGGUGAUUGGAGGUCUUGAGGCCGAGACGAUCUCAAGCUACACCCCGGCUCGCUGGCAUGGAGCCAGACGUGGAAUGUGAGUGCCUAGUGAGCACAGCUGGCACCGUGGGAUGGGCUGAAUGCUGGGUUGAAGCGCCCAAUACCGAUGUUCAUCGGACCCUAGAAAGGGUGUUGGUUGGUGUGGACUUUGGUUGGUGUGGACGGCAGGACUGUGGCCAUGGGAGUCGGAGUCCUCUGAGGAGUGCGUGGCGGUUCGCCUGCCAAAUUGGCUACCCCUGAGGAAGGAUGGUUCUGGAGCAUCCAGCCCAUGCCCUGCCCUUGGCAGUGGUCGGAGCCUGACUGGAGCGGACCCGAGUGUGCUUCUCUUGGGGUCCAGGCUGCGGGGUGUAGGCUUUGGUCGGCUCCCCCACCUCCACGCUCCUGGUUUAGCCCCUGCGGACAAGUGGGACAAGUGGGAGGACCGCUGGGGUGAGCCUUGAAGCCUAGGGAGCAGCCCCAGGGGGAGCCGCCCCUGGUGCAGAUCUUGGUGGUUGUAGCAGGUAUUCAAGGAGAACUUUGAAGGCUGAGGUGGAGAGGGGUUUGACAUGAACAGCAGUUGAACAUGGGUCAGUCGGUCCAGAGAUGGGCGAGUGUCAUUCCUAAGGGACCAGCGAUGGUCUCCAUUGCCAUCGGAUGAUUGAGAGGGAGUCCAGUUCCGAUCCCCAAAUCUGGAGUGGCUGACAUAGGCGCCGCGGGGUGUCCUGUGCAGUGGCACAGCCAAUCAGAGAGAAGCCUGUAGGGGGCUCCGGGGUAGGGUUCUCUUUUCUUUGUGAAGGGCAGGGAGCCCUGGAAUGAGUUUGCUCCUAGAGAGGGGCCUUGCCUUGGAAAGCAUCGCGGUUCCUGAGUCAUCCACAUCCGGUGAGCUCUUGCUGGCCCUGGAAAAUUCCGGGGAGAGGGUGGGGAUCUGGCACUGGGCUGUACCCAUGUCCUCAGCAGGACUCCAGGGUGAACAACCUCUGGCAUGUUGGAACAAUGUAGGUGGGGGAGGUUGGCAAGCCAGAUCUGUAGCUUCAGGAUGGGGAUUGGCUGAAGGCUGGGUUGUUGGGGUUGGGGCAGAAGUGUGGCUAGGCGGGCUCCCUAGCUGGACAGGGCGCCGCCGCCCCCUCCCACACCCGGGGAGACCCCUUCCUUUCCUCCAUGGCCAGCACUGCUCUUUUCCCUUGGGGCCAGGCCGUCCCCCAUCCCAGUCAUCUCCCCCUCCUUUCCCUGUCUGUCCCUCUGUCUUGGCAGUGGUGGAGGGUGGGGAUUGGCAUGGUGCAGGCUAAGGGGAGGCAGGUCCAACCCCUUAAGGGCUGGAGGGGAAGGAAACACUGGGCCCCUCCCGUCGCGGGGGCAGGGAACUCAGGUGGGGGGAGGCGGCAGGGGGGUGACUCUGGACACAAGCCGGGCCCUUAUGGUAAAUUGCCCCAGCUGUGGUGGGCGUGGUGGUGCCACCAGAGGGAGUGUGGUCCCCUGGACUCUGAGGCAAUGUUCCUCCACCUGGUCCCACCCCGGGCCUGCAGUUGUCUUCUGAGCCGCCCUUCCCCUAGGCCAGCUCCUAGCAGAGGACUUAGAACUAACUGGUGGGGACCAGGGAAAUCCAACUGAUAAUUAAAACAAGGCAUCAAGAAGGCAAGGGGCGCAUGUUAAGGUGAAGUGAAAUCUGCCCAGUGCUCUGAAUGUCAAAUUGAAGAAUUGAAAUGAAGAGCAGGUAAACUGCAGGAGUAACUAUGACUCUCUUAAGGUAGCCAAAUGCCUGGUGAUCAAAUUAGUGACUAGCAAAAAUGGAGGAGCAAGAUUCCCACUGUCCCUACCUACUAUCCAGGGAAAGAACAGCCAAGGGUAUGGGCUUGGCAGAAUCAGCUGGGAAAGAAGAUCCUGUUGAGCUUGACUCUAGUCUGGCAAGGUGAAGAGACAUGAGAGGUAUAGAUUAAGUGGGAGACCCCUCGUACCCCCACUUCCCCAUAAGGCUUCAAGAUGUUUUUGUUCAAUGACCCGGUGAGUCUGGGGGAGAGGGCAGAAGCAAGCCCAAAGGGUCUCUCACUUCUGGGACUAAACACAGGUCCUUGCUUGUGUACAGGCAGGCCCUACCCACUCAGCAGACAGUCAGGUAGGGAGUUUGAGUGGGGCAGUACACCUGUCAAAAGAUUAAGCAGGGCAAUGUCAGGGAGGACAGAAACGUCCCCUGCAGGAGAAGGGCAAAAGCUCCCUUGAUCUUGAUUUUCAGUAGAAAUACAGACCAGGGAACUGUGCCUCAGAAUCCUUCUAACCUUUUGGGGUUUGAGCAAGAGGUGUCAGAAAAGUUACCACAGGGAUAACUGACUUGUGGAGGCCAAGCUUUCAUAGGGACAUAGCUAUUUGAUCCUUCC